CGGCACUGAGGCGUCCUCACGCAGCCACAGAGGCGCCACAGAGACGGUGGCGUAGAGCGGCUCUCGCACCCUGUUUGCGCCUCCCCGCGGCCUGGAGGCAGGAGACGCCCCCGCGGUCUGUCAGCGUGCCCCGUCAGCCAGGCUAUGGAGCACAAAUGUGACACUUCUGGACUCAACAACGGUUUCACAACAGCACUUGUCAGCCUUGAAGGAAAGCAUAUCCACAUGUGAUACAGAUGAGAUUAAGAACUACUGCUUUCUGCUAACUGGAGAAUCUAAUGUUGAAUACAAGGUGAAUCUUGUGGCAGAGAGUCUUCAUCUUCCCCGUGGUCCUUCAGCUCAGAGGAGUCACUUUGCUGUUCACACUCUUUGCUCUCCAAUGGCUGCUUCGGUUUUAUGAACUUCCAGAGUGCCUGUGUACAUCGUUCAACAAUGUGGCUCAUCUGCAGAAAGCUCGCAGCAGUUAAGUAGUUCACCAGCUCCAUUUCAGGAAACUCCAGAACGCCGCUGUAACAAGACAAAAGCAACUGCCUCCCUACUUCCGAACUUUGCAGGAUAGAGAUUUUUACAUCUCUAGAGUCAUUUAAUAAGAACUGAUCUCUUAAAAAGGGAGAGCCAGCAGCAAAUACAAUUUUAUGCCCAUGAACUUCAACAUCAUCUAUAUGGAC
rnacentral:lncRNA from 1 species